GGGGAGGGGUGUUGGUCAAGGAGGGGCACAACACGGGGACACUGGGAUUUCCUUUCCUGUCUUCCACGACCUUGCCUCGGCUCAUAGCCAUCUCUGCCGAGUAGGGCGCCUGAGGCCCUUCCCCCAAGGCAACCUCGAGACACCCCCCUCGGUUCUAGCCCGGGGACUGUAAACCUUUCCUAGGAGGAGGCUCGGCCCCAGGCCCCACCUCUUGUCCACUUGUCCGCUUCCGCAGCUCCCUCCCCGCGCUGCAGGCGGCCUCCAAGUCCAGUCCAAGCCUCCCAAAUGCAUGCUCCUGCCCCGCCCCAACCGCGAGGCCACGCCUCUCUCCUCCAAAAGGCCGGCCACAGGCCCCGCCCCGUCCGGAGGACACGCCCCUCCGAGCCCCAGCCGCCUCUCCGGCAGCACUCCCACGGCCUCGCGAUCCGGACCCAGCCUUCAAGUCAGCCCUCGGCCCGCUCACCCGUCACUGAGGUGAAGAAAAGAAAGAAAAGGUGAGGCUCAGAGAGGGGGGAAGAGCCAGAUGUUGUGGCGCAUGCCUGUAAUCCCAGCACUUGGGAGGCUGAGGCAAGAGGAUCGUUGCAAGUUCAAGGCCAGCCUGGGCUACAAAGUGGCUUUGCCAAGCCCCCCACCACAACAGCAUCCAUGGCCUCCCAUGAUCCAGACGAUUGUCUCCAACUUCAUCUCCCACUCACCUGUGCUAAGGUAGCCUUCCUUGUUCCUACCCAUGCUUCAGUGACAACUUUGAUGGGCAGUAUCUUUUCAACAAGAAGUAGCUGGGUUGGUAUCAUGAACCUGUACAGUCGGCUCCUCAUAAGGCAAAGGCAGGAGGAUCACUUGAGCCCAGGAGUUCAGCCUGGGCAGUAUAGCAAGAUUCCACUUCUUAAUAAAAUAAACAAGUGAUGAUGA